GACGAACUGUGCAAACGUUAUUCGGAAUCACUGGGCUUAAAGGGUGCGUAGGCGGUCUUGUAAGUAGGGUGUGAAAGCCCCCGGCUCAACCGGGGAACUGCGUCCUAAACUGCAAGGCUUGAGUGAGGCAGGGGUGUGUGGAACUUCCAGUGGAGCGGUGAAAUGUGUUGAUAUUGGAAGGAACGCCGGUGGCGAAAGCGACACACUGGGCCUUGUCUGACGCUGAGGCACGAAAGCCAGGGGAGCGAACGGG
rnacentral:rRNA from 1 species